rnacentral:rRNA from 1 species
GAUGAACGCUGGCGGCGUGCCUAAUACAUGCAAGUCGAGCGAACAGACGAGGAGCUUGCUCCUCUGACGUUAGCGGCGGACGGGUGAGUAACACGUGGAUAACCUACCUAUAAAACUGGGAUAACUUCGGGAAACCGGAGCUAAUACCGGAUAAUAUAUUGAACCGCAUGGUUCAAUAGUGAAAGACGGUUUUGCUGUCACUUAUAGAUGGAUCCGCGCCGCAUUAGCUAGUUGGUAAGGUAACGGCUUACCAAGGCAACGAUGCGUAGCCGACCUGAGAGGGUGAUCGGCCACACUGGAACUGAGACACGGUCCAGACUCCUACGGGAGGCAGCAGUAGGGAAUCUUCCGCAAUGGGCGAAAGCCUGACGGAGCAACGCCGCGUGAGUGAUGAAGGUCUUCGGAUCGUAAAACUCUGUUAUUAGGGAAGAACAAAUGUGUAAGUAACUAUGCACGUCUUGACGGUACCUAAUCAGAAAGCCACGGCUAACUACGU